GUUUUCACUUCCAAAGACAUCCUUCAGUAAUUUCUGAGAGCUGUCUGAAUCAUGCCAUUUCCCAUGACUCGAGUAUACGUGGGUGAAUAUAUCCAGAGCAAUGACAGAAAAACAGAAUGACUUUCCCACACUGCAGACAGAUAUCACUUUUCCCAGAACAGGCCAAAAUCAGCUUCCAAAAAGACUUGGGAAACCACAUGGAGAAGGGGUACACUUCAGCUGAAGAGCCUGUUGAGCCAGAGGGUGCUGAAGAUCUCAGCUGGUAUCUUUCUACAGUUAAGUAAGAGAAAUGGGUAUCUGAAGAAGGGGCCUUCCCAGUCCCAAGGGAACAUGAUCAAUAGCUCUUCUGUUGUAGUGCAGAAAUGGAUGCCUAGAAAGACUCCAGUGAUUGCCAUGGCAACGAAGAAAAUGUGUGCCAAAACAAGAGAGGUUUUUCACUCUGGAUCAAAGUUUCAUUUGGCUUGAACAGACGUCGCUCCAGUGAGAUCAGUGGUGCAAUGAAGGUGUGGUUGGGAGUGACCAAGUGAGUUGGUUAUCCACUCCUGUAGAUGGGUGGGUUUUUUCAUAAACCCACAUAUGGAAGGCAGGGAUAUCCUGGUCCUGAUGGCUGCAUGUUCUUACCUGGAAUAACUGGAGCCACCAGAGCUGCACCGUGGAGAGCUGAGGCUGCUCUUGCCCAGUGGGGUGUGUUACCAGCAGGCUUGGAGCCACCACAGCCUCACUGAUGCCUUUGUGGCACCUGCAUUGGGGCUCUGUGAUCUGACUGCUCUGAUCUGAUGUCUGGGACACCCAGAUGAGAUAAAUCCCACAUGUGGGGUCUGUUUUAUCAUUGUGUUUCUUCAGUUAAAAUUACUGAAAUACCAAAAGGCAAUAAAUUGUCUUAUAGUAGUAAGAAACUAGUUCCUCUCUGCAUUUCCUUAGGUUUAUGGAGCUGAACUUGCAUUAAUUUCUGUAAAGCAAUUAAUUAAAUUAAUUAACCUUCUGUGAUUUUCAAACUCUAUUUGCUUUAUCAAGUUUUGAAGUGGAGGCCUACUUCAGAUUUCAAAAGACAGAGUUCUGCAUAUGAGCACCCCUCACUGUUUUAGUAUUUCAAGGGAAACAGCAGGUGAAAAAAAUCUAUUUGGGACCUAAGAUAAGGCUGGGGGUUUUAGAAACAUCUUAGUGAUUCAUCUCAUUCACUGGAGCAACAGCAGUGAGAUUUAAUUCAAAAGUGUGAGAGCUGAGAACAGAGUGUGAGGGCGGUCACUUUCUCUUCCUCCUCUCAAUCUCAGGAGUGUCAAUGUUCCAAAUAAAACACUGCCACUCCUCUGAACUUCACACACACCUGCUCAGCCUUACACAAGAGAAAAAAUCAGCUUGGGAAAAAGUGAGGUAAAUGGAAAGUGUGCUGUGCCAAAGGGGACUGUGACUUGCCAGUUGAGGUUCAGGAAAGCACUAAUUCAUGCUCAAUAAUAAAUUGAAUGGAUAAAUACUGUAGGGAGAAAAAUAACUGUGUGAGUACAAGAAAAUAACUGAUGGUCUGCACUCUGCAUGCACAGGCAAGCUGAAACUGGAAGGUUUCCAACAAUAAGAGGACAGUUUCUGUGUCCAGUAUGAGGGGAAGGAAACCAACUGCAGAGGAGUUUUUUGACUAAAUGGAACUUAAUAUAUCCAUGAUGCAGCAGCAAUCACUGGCUCUGGAAAUCAACUGCCAGGGCUGUGUUUCUUUGAAGUAAAACAGCUCUUUUACAAGGAUUUGGGAUAACUAACUGAAAAGCAGGAAAGUUUUACAUAAUGGGACACAAUCUGCCCCCAGCUAUUUUGUAAACAAAACAAAUAGGGGUAAGUGGCUUGUCCUGAUCUCAGUGUUGUGCCAGUGUUUCACCUUGGUGAGAAAGAACUGAUCUUCCCAUGCGAGCCCUGAGGAGUCCCUAAAUUCACUGUACCUAUUUAGAGGAAAAAGAAUCAAAACAAAUAUGGGAACCUCCAUAGCCAUAACUUUAUGGUUAUAUAGUUACUCACUACUGACACCCCCAAGUCUUUCUCCCCAGGAAUAGUGUCAGUCCAUCUUCUGCCCAGCCUGUACCUGUGCAGAACCUUGCACUUGGCUUCCUUCAGAUGCCUGAGGUUGGCCAAGAGGCCCCUUUCAACCUAUGAAAUCCCACUGGGUGGCAUCCCCUCCCUCCACUCAAGCACUUAAAACGUGCCAAUUUAAAGACACUUUAUUUACAAACACACUCCCCUCUGAAAGCCAAUAAGCUUUUGGGAGGGAUUUAGAUGUUUAACUGUAGUUUUAUAACUAAUUGUAAUAGAUGACAGCUAUAUGUGUAUGAUUAAACGCCCAGUAUAAUGGUUAAAUUCUGACAGCGUUCGACAGAAACUCUUGGGGACUAAGCCAUUCUUGCUGUUAUGAUGGGCAAGGCUUGGUUUCAGCGGGUUUAAGGGAAGCCCGUGUCCGGUCUCGGCUGGCCGGGGCUGUCGGUGCGGUGUGAGCUGAGCGGUGUGAGCUGUGUGUGAUCUGUGAGCUGUGAGCUGAGCGGUGUGAGCUGUGAGCUGUGAGC